GAGAGCUUGCUCUCUGAUUCAGCGGCGGACGGGUGAGUAAUGCCUAGGAAUCUGCCUGGUAGUGGGGGACAACGUUUCGAAAGGAACGCUAAUACCGCAUACGUCCUACGGGAGAAAGUGGGGGAUCUUCGGACCUCACGCUAUCAGAUGAGCCUAGGUCGGAUUAGCUAGUUGGUGGGGUAACGGCUCACCAAGGCGACGAUCCGUAACUGGUCUGAGAGGAUGAUCAGUCACACUGGAACUGAGACACGGUCCAGACUCCUACGGGAGGCAGCAGUGGGGAAUAUUGGACAAUGGGCGAAAGCCUGAUCCAGCCAUGCCGCGUGUGUGAAGAAGGCCCUCGGGUCGUAAAGCACUUUAAGCUGGGAGGAAGGGUUGUAACCUAAUACGUUGCAGCUUUGACGUUACCAGCAGAAUAAGCACCGGCUAACUCUGUGCCAGCAGCCGCGGUAAUACAGAGGGUGCAAGCGUUAAUCGGAAUUACUGGGCGUAAAGCGCGCGUAGGUGGCUUGGUAAGUUGAAUGUGAAAUCCCCGGGCUCAACCUGGGAACUGCAUCCAAAACUGCCUGGCUAGAGUACGGUAGAGGGUGGUGGAAUUUCCUGUGUAGCGGUGAAAUGCGUAGAUAUAGGAAGGAACACCAGUGGCGAAGGCGACCACCUGGACUGAUACUGACACUGAGGUGCGAAAGCGUGGGGAGCAA
rnacentral:rRNA from 1 species